AACGAACGCUGGCGGCGUGCUUAACACAUGCAAGUCGUACGAGAAACCGGAACUUCGGUUCUGGGAGUAAAGUGGCGCACGGGUGAGUAACGCGUAGGUAAUCUACCCUUGGGUUUGGAGUAACCCGCCGAAAGGCGUGCUAAUACCGGAUAAAAUCUUUCGGAGGGAUCUGAAAGAUCAAAGGUGGCCUCUCCAUGGAUGCUACCGCCUGAGGAUGAGCCUGCGUCCCAUUAGCUUGUUGGUAGGGUAAUGGCCUACCAAGGCUACGAUGGGUAGCUGGUCUGAGAGGAUGAUCAGUCACACUGGAACUGGAACACGGUCCAGACUCCUACGGGAGGCAGCAGUGAGGAAUAUUGCGCAAUGGGGGAAACCCUGACGCAGCGACGCCGCGUGGGUGAAGAAGGCCUUCGGGUCGUAAAGCCCUGUCUAGAGGGAAGAAAUUCUCAAUGGAAUAAUACCCAUUGAGAUUGACGGUACCUCUGGAGGAAGCACCGGCUAACUCCGUGCCAGCAGCCGCGGUAAUACGGAGGGUGCGAGCGUUGUCCGGAAUUACUGGGCGUAAAGCGGGUGUAGGCGGUUUGUUAAGUCAGAUGUGAAAGCCCACGGCUCAACCGUGGAAGUGCAUCUGAAACUGGCAGACUUGAGUACCGGAGAGGGAGGUGGAAUUCCUGGUGUAGGGGUGAAAUCCGUAGAUAUCAGGAGGAACACCGGUGGCGAAGGCGACUUCCUGGACGGAUACUGACGCUGAGACCCGAAAGCGUGGGGAGCAAACAGGAUUAGAUACCCUGGUAGUCCACGCCCUAAACGAUGGGCACUAGGUGCAGGGGGUGUUGACCCCUCCUGUGCCGCAGCUAACGCAUUAAGUGCCCCGCCUGGGGAGUACGGCCGCAAGGUUGAAACUCAAAGGAAUUGACGGGG
rnacentral:rRNA from 1 species